rnacentral:lncRNA from 1 species
GAGCGUCCGCGGCCCGCGCAGAGCCGCGCACCAAGCCGAUGGCGGUGGACGCAGCAGGGCCCCGCGGUCUGAGUGCGGGCAGGCGCGCGUGGGCGUGUCUCCCUGGCCCACGCGUGUCCCCGGCAUCAGUGUCUCGGCUCUGGUCCAGGACGAAGACUUCUGAAAGCGAGCCAAGGAGAUCACCUGUCUCUUCUCAGGUGUGCACUGUAGAGAAGCUGCUGCGAAGGCCACAGGUCACUCAGGAAAAUUUGGGGCAGUUUUCUAGGUUCAAGGGAGACUGGACAUCAAAGCUGCACUGGGACAUAUGGACGCCUUGAUCCACUUUGGCCAUUCCACCUCAGCUCAGAAUUACUCACUGGUGUCAGCACAGGAUGUUUCUUGGCUUCAAACCAUUUGGAUAAGUGAUGGCAGCAAGCUUCGCCACUGUAAAGUCACCUCUUUGUAAGAAGACAGGAGCUCUUUGUAAAGAAUAUGAGACCUGAGGCUGGGGGAUGGCUGAGAAGGGAAAAGCACCUCUGCACAAGCGUGAGAAAAGGAGUUUGUUCUUCCACAUCCAUGUAGAAAUCUUGAUGCCGUGCCGUGAACCCCAGCUCUCCUACGGGAAGAUGGGAGGCGUAGACAGGAGUUCAUCUGGAAGCUUGAGGCCAGCCACCCAGAUCCUCAGAGCUGCAGACAAAAGAGAGGCCCUGCAGCAAAAGAGUGGAAGGUGAGAACCAACUCCGGAAAGUUGCCCUCUGACCUUUACAAGUGUAUACAUCCACACACAUACAAUAAAAUCAAUUGCUCAAUCACGUA